rnacentral:rRNA from 1 species
UACGUAGGAGACGAGCGUUGUCCGGAGUUACUGGGCGUAAAGGGUGCGCAGGUGGCGGCGCGCGUGGGGGGUGAAAUCGCCCGGCUUAACUGGGCGGGGGCCUUCCAGACGGCGUGGCUUGAGCAGCGGAGGGGGACGUGGAAUUCCGGGUGGAGCGGUGAAAUGCGUAGAGAUCCGGAGGAACACCGACGGCGCAGGCAGCGUCCUGGGGAGUACCUGACGCGUCAGGUGCGGAAAAGCCAGGGGAGCGAACGGG